rnacentral:tRNA from 2 species
GGGGCUGUGGGGUAGCCUGGCUAUCCUUUUCGGUUUGGGACCGAAUGACCCCGGUUCGAAACAACUGGUUACG